rnacentral:misc_RNA from 1 species
GCAGGCAGUGUGGUUAGCGCUGUGGCAGGGAGAGGGUGUAUAUCACUAACACACACCACCACCACCAACACCACCACCACCACCACCACCACCACCACACCACCACCACCACUACUACUACCACUACUACUACUACUGCUGCUACUAUUACGACUUCAAUACUGUUGGUGCUUUAAGAUAGGUUACAAUGACAUCGGUGGCCCACUCCCCCGGGGCCUGUCCCUCUCUGGCCGACCUUGACACUAUUACCGAUGAGGAACGACUGCGCUGUAUGUGGCAGCAGGCGGAGGACUUCGGAGAGCGGCGUCGCAUCAGGGCACGCAUGUACAAGCUGAAGGAGCAACGACUGAGAGAGAUGAUGCAGAAUGACGAGGAGAGUCUGGGCGCCCUGGCCGUCACGGAGGAUGGUGGACUCAGCGGCGGCGAGGACAUGGCCUCCUCACCCGCACCCGUCAGACGGACUUCAAAUAUACAGGUGACCAUGCACGUGGAAGGAGACACCGCCGUGACGGACUCCAUCUCGACACAGAACGUACGUCUGGGCGGGCUGACGCUGCGCGGUGUGGAGGGCCUGGAGGGCGUGUCGGCGGAGCAGGUUAUCGCGGAACACAUGCGCAAGGCGAGCGAGGACCGCGGUGGUCGGUACCAACGCAUCCUGGGCGAGCUGAGUGACGGCGAGGGGGACGCCGUGGUCAGCAUCACCAAGAACACCUACUCCAUCCAGUCCAACGCCCUGGCCGGCGAGGGCUACAUCUCCCUCAAGAACAAGGAAGUGCGCGACUCUGUGUCACCCACCCGCGUCCUCAGAGAGCGCCGCUCCUCCGCUGAGGACGAUAACUCCGCCACCGAGGGCCGCCUCACCUCAGACGACGAGGCCGCCCUCAGGGCUGAGAGCGAGAACAUCAUCCACGAGCUGAACAAGUCCAGAACCACCGCCACCACCACCACCACCUCCUCCAACACCACCUCCUCCUCCUCCAGGAAGACCUCCAGGGAGGAGAAGUCCUCCUCCACCACCCGCACCACCCGUGGCAGACAGUCUGAGAUCCCCGUGCCCCGCGAGACCACUACACGCAAGGUGUCUGAGAGGAAGCUGUCUAGGGAGCUGGACCUGGGCUCCGGCAGGCGCGGCGGCGGCGGCGACAAGGCGUCCCCCACCUCCCCCACACGCCGCACGCCCGGCGAAUCUUCCCCGCGCGGCCACGCCUCCCGCAGGACGGGCGCGCAGAAGGAGGUGCCCAGUCCUGGUUCAGGUCCCGCCUCACCUAACAAGUCCCCGACUCGCGCCGGCACCACCAAGGGCACCACUACCACCACCGCCACCACAACCACCACCACUACCAGCGGCGGCGGCAGCAGCGCGGCCCGCAAGGCGGAGCAGUUGGCGGACAUCGAGUCCAAGAUGGAGGCGAGCAUCAUGUCAGAGCUGGACAAACUGGACACUUAUCUGAGUGCCGGGGCGGACGAGCAGGAUGAGGUGGUGAUGGAGCACGAGGAGGACGUGGUGGAUGAGGCGGGCCACGUGGUGCGUAUGCUGGUGCAGACGCGGCGCAAGAAGGACGGUAGCGAGUGCACGGCGAGGCGCGUGGCGCGCUCCGCCAGGCUGGUGGACAGUGAGGGCGAGAUCGACGAGAUCCUGAUCGGCAACCCGGACCACGAGGUGCUGCAGCGAGACGUGGCCGAGGAGGAGGACGACGACGGCAACAACAUCCGCAUCAUCACCGAGACGCGGCGCCGCCCUGACGGCAUCACCUACACCACCAAGAACGUCCUCAAGACCUCCAAGAUAUUCGACUACGACCACCCCGAGGACGUGGCCUACAACGAGGACGACCAGCUCAUCGACAGCAACGAGACCCACGAGACGGACGAGCACGGCGCCACCAUCCGUACGGUGACGGAGACCCGGCGCAAGGGCAGCGGCGUGGAGUACACCACCAAGAAGGUGUACAAGACCUGCAAGGUCAAGACCACGCGCAUCACACCCUCGGACGACGACGAGGUGCUGGACACGCGCGAGACUGAGGAGAAGGCCGAGGACGGCUCCACGGUGCGCACGGUGGUGGAGACGCGGCGCACCAAGAGCGGCGAGGAGUACACCCACCGCCAGGUGUUCCGCUCCCGCCGCAUGACGCUGUCCGCCUUGGACGUGCAGCGCGGCCUGCCCGCCAUGGACAACGAUGACGAGGUGCUCACGCGCCAGGAGAAGGAGGAGCCUGACGAGUCUGGCCGCGCCGUGCGUGUGGUGACGGAGACGCGGCGCCGCCCUGACGGCUCCACCUACUCCUUCGAGUACGUCAUCCGCAGCUUCCAAGGCACCGAGGACGAGGUCAACAAUAUGCCCGUGGGCAGUGGCGGCUCCAGCGGCAUCACGGUGUGCGCUGAGGACGAGCUGCUGAAGGAGGACGUGAAGGAAGAGGUGCUGGAAGACGGCACCACCGUGCGGACUAUCGUGGAGCGGCGCCGCGCCAAGGACGGCACGGAGUACAUGCGCCACCGCGUGAUGCGCAUCCCACGCAUGCCGGAGCCAGUGCUGCAGGUGGCGCGCCCCGAGGAUGAGGUGCUGCAGGAGGAGGUGAAGGAGGAGACGCUGCAGGAUGGCUCCCACCGCCGCGCAGUGACGGAGCGGCGCCGCAGCAGCGUGUCUGGCGUGCAGUAUACGCUGCGACGCACGUCGCGCGUGUACACGCCCCACUCCCACGCCCUGCACCCGCACGGCGCCGGCCACGAGAUCCUCGACGAGAACGAGACCGAGGAAGAGACGGACGAAGGCACUGUGGUGCGCACUGUCAGCCAGCGCGUGCAGCGCCCUGACGGCUCCGUGUACACCACGCAGCACGUGCAGCGCACCUUCAACACGCCCACCCCCAUCACUCUCACCGGCACAGAGGACGACGAGCUGCUGGACCGUCACGAGGACGACCACGAGGACGAGGACGGCACCGUCACCAAGACCAUUGUGGAGACACGUCGUCGCGCUGACGGCGUGCAGUACACAGUGGAGCGCGCGGAGCGCACUGCGCGCCGCGGCCACGAGGUGCAGGUGACUCUGAGCACGGGAGGGCGGCGGCCCGGGCGGCCCGAGGAUGUAGUGGUCGUGGGAAGCCCCGAGGACAGCGUGGUGAGCACCGAGGAGCACGAGGAGGAGGAGGAGGACGGCAGCGUGGUGCGCACCGUGGUGGAAGUGCGGCGCCGCGCGGACGGCACAGAGUACACGUGCCGCACGGUGGUGCGCUCCGCCCCCGUGCUGGUGCCGGAGCGCGAGACGUCCUUCGUGGUGAUUCGCCCCGAGGGAGGCGACGAGGACGAGGCGGGCUUCUUCCCCUCCCAGGACGACGAGGUGCUUCUGACGCGGCAGCGGGAAGAGCCCGGACCAGACGGCACGCCCGUGCCCGUGGUGGUGGAGACGCGCCGCAGCCGCGCCACGGGAGAGCGGUACAACGUGACCAAGCGUGUGCACACCACAGACGUGCUGCUCACAGAGGCCGGAGAGACCACCCUGCCGCGCGGCCUCGUCAAGACCACGCUGCUCGCCAACGUCACGGCGCCCUCCGACGCCCCCAGCCAACCCACGCUCACCAAAACCACGCCUGCACCCACCAAGACCUUGCACACAAAGGCCAAUCCUCCCAACAGAAACUUCCCUGUCACCAAGACCACCCUUGCCACACCCAGGACCACCCCUACCACCCCGAAGGCCACCCCUGCCUCCCCAAGGACUACCCCUGCCACCCUCAAAGCUACCCCAGCAACCCCUGCCACGCCCAAAGCCACCCCAGCAACCCCUGCCACACCCAAAGCCACCCCAGCAACCCCUGCCACACCCAAAGCCACCCCAGCAACCCCUGCCACCCCCAAAGCCACUCCGGCAACCCCUGCCACGCCCAAAGCCACUCCAGCAACCCCUGCCGCACUCAAAGCCACCCCAGCAACCCCUGCCACACCCAAAGCCACCCAAGCCACCCCAGCAACCCCUGCCACGCCCAAAGCCACCCCUGCAGACACCCCUGCAACACCCAGAGCCAAGGCUGUCAGCCCUGUCAGGUCCCCCAGCCCCAGGGCCUCCCCAGCCAGACCUUCCUCCCCCGCAAGGCCUUCCUCCCCCGCCAGCAGGUCCCCAGAGCGGCAGCCAGUGGAGCCGGAGCAGGAGGAGCCAGACCACAUCCCCUACGGCUCCGUGUCGGCUCUCAAGAACAGGUUCGCUCCUGUUGGCAGCGCCCCGAAACCAGACAGCAGCGAGCCGCGCCCGUCCUCGCGGCCUGACCGCACCAACACUCUCAACAAGAAGCGAUUCUUCGAGGACGCUGCCAAGGCCGCCGGUGACAUCCCAGCCUCCCCCAAGCUGCCGGCGCGGCGCCCCCUUGCCCCCACAGAGAAGGAGCAGCCCCAGGAGGAGCCCGUCCCGGACCUGGACGAGGAGAUCGCCCGCCUGGAGGAGAAGGAGGAGCUGCGCCACCUCCAGGAGGAGCCGCACUCAGAGACCGAGGAGGAGCCCGAGGAGCCCGCGCUGGAGGAGGACGAGACCUUCUCCCCAUCCGAGGAGGAGCCCCAGGAGGCCCCCGCCCCGAGAAGCGAGCCCGUGAAGAAGGCGCCGGGAACACGCCCUGGACAGCGGCCCAAGAGGGUGGUGGAGGAGGCCCCCAAGAAACGGCGGGAGGUGAGCCCCAGGAAGGUGGAUGAGCCCCGCCGUGCCCCAGCCACCACCAGGAAGGCGCCACAACAGGACGACUCACCCACACGCAAGGCGCCCUCCCAGCGCCGCCCCGUCAAGGCCUCACCCUCCUCUCCGCAGCGCGGCCCAUCCUCCCCACAGCGUGGCCCAUCUUCCCCCCAGCGCGGCCCAUCUUCCCCGCAACGCGGCCCAUCCUCCCCCCAGCGCGCCCCCAGCUCGCCAGAUCGUGCCAGCCGCGAGGUGACGCCCGGGCGUGGGUGUUGCAAGAAGCACCCUGGCGAGGAGCCCACCAGCCCCACCAGGAGCCCCACCAAGGCCCGCCCCUCCUCCCCCAGGAAGGCCGGCUCCCCAGAGAGCAAGCCCCGUGUCAAUGGAGAGGCGCCGCGCACGCCCACCGACACGCGCCUCAAUGGCGAACGCGGGCCACGAGGUCGGCGCCCCGCAGAGCGCCCGAGCGAGCCUGAGCGCAGCACAGUGCGCCCCUCACGGCUCUCCCAGACCCCGCGCAAGGGUGCUCCUACCACGCGCUCCCCCGACAAGCGCGAACCCGCCACGCGCCCCACCACCACACGCCCUGCCGACAGGAAGGGCCCCACCAAGCCAGCAGAGCGGAGCCCCAAGGGACGCCAGCCUGAGGCCAAGGCCACCCUGGCAGUGCCUGAGGACAAGACGCCCGUUAUCACCAUGCCGGAGACGCCCAUGACGGAGGACAUGAAGCCCCUGCCUGCCGAGGACGACGAUGGGCCAGAGAUCGAGGACGUGUCUGCCGCGCCAGACUUGCCGUACCACACCGUGCACCGCCCCUCACUGGUGCGUGAACCAUCAGAGUACCCCGACCACGACGCCCCAGAGGCGCCCACUGACUCAUCCCCUGAGGAGGUGGAGGAGCCAGAGCCGCGGGACCGCCGCCCUGAGAAGAAGGCACCCCGCAAGGCCCCGGAGAGCCCCGCCAAGGAGGAGCCGUCACGCGUACGCAGAACACGGCCCAUGGAAUCACGCCUCAGCGACAAGUCCCUCACGCCCAAGGAUAAGAAGGUGCCGCAGGAGCCUCGCCGCACCACCAGGGACCGCCCCUGGCUCACUGAGAAGCGCAACUCAUUCGAGAAGAAACCCACCGACUCAAAGACAACCCCGCGCGGCACAGACAAGCGCCGUCCCGCGGAGCGCCGCCCCAGUGACGAGGCGCCCGCCCCCGCUCCUGCUCGCGAGGAGGCCCCAGAGGAGCCUCAGCUGGCCUCCACCGACAGCGAGCCUGAGGCAGCGCUGCCCCCAUCCCCACCUCCCUCAGAGGAGGCGCCGGAGGAGCCACGCCGUGCCGCGCCCCUGGAGCAGCAGCCGGCAGCUCGCCUGCCAGUCGAGGUGGAGCGCGCCCCAGCGCCGGAAAGGACCACCACCACCACCACCACCAGCACCACCAUCACCACCGCCAGCAUCAGCACGGGUGGCAGCAGCGUAGCCGCCAGACGGUCACUGUUCAGCCGCGGCGCCGCACAGCCCGAGGCGCCGCGACAGCAGCCCGAGACGCGGCCAGACCGUCCGGGUCGUAAGCCGUCCUACGAGAUGAAGGAGUCUGUGUUCUCGCGACGCUCUAUCUUCGAGCAGGGCAAGUCAGAGCCCGCGCCCGCGCCCCUGCGCCGCCCGCUCUUCAAAACGCCCCUCAAGAAGGAGCCAGAGCCGCGCCAGCCCCAGGACGAGCCACGCCAACCUGUGAAGGAGGAGCCCCUCACGGAGUCUCCGCGCCAGCCUCUGCAGGAAGCGCCGGUGAGGGAGGAGCCCCGCCAGCCCAGGAAGGAAUCCUUCAAGGCCCCAGACUCCCCGCGCCAGCCUCUCAAGGAGGAGGAACCGCGUCAGCCCAGGAAGGAGUCCCUAAAGGAGUCCCCGCGCCAGCCCCUGAGGGAAGAGGAACCCCGCCAGCCCCGCAAGGACUCUCUCAAGGACUCCCCACGCCAGCCCCUCAAGGAGGAGCCCUGCCAGCCCCGCAAGUCCUCCCUGAAGGAGUCCCCGCGCCAGCCCCUGAGGGAGGAGCCGCGCCAGCCGGUAAAGGAGCCUAUCAUUGUGCCCAAGUACAUCCAUCCCCUGGGAGACGACGAAGACACCCCCAGGGACUCGCCCAGGGACUCCCCUAGGGACACUCCCAAGGACUCCCCCAGGGACGGCCCUAAGGACGCCCUCACCAUCACCUCCAGCACCCUCGUGAGGACCGCCAUGGCCUCCACGCGACACACCUCCUCCACCUCACGCUCCCCCACACACUCCCCCACACGGAGGUCCCCCACCCACUCCCCCAGGAGCUCCCCAACCCGCCAGCCCACCAGGGAGCGUUCCUCUUCACCCUCCCCUGCCCCGAGGAGCAAGGAGGCCUCCCCAUCACCAGUGAGGCGCCCCAGCAAGGAGACAUCCCCUGCGCCCUUCACUAAGGAGUCCUCCCCCACCAGGUUUGUGACAGGGAAGCCAGUGGACAGCGGGGUGGACCUGACCAAGCUGAGGCGUAUUGAGAGGGUAGGAAGCAACAAGAAGCUCCUGGAAGACCUCGAGGUGCCUAAGAGUGAACUGCCUGACUACCUUCAGUCCGUUGACACUAUCUUCGACGUCACUGUGCUGGAGACCAUGCUUGAGAAGGCCGUGUCAUAUGAAGAGCGACGCAUCAUCCGAGGUCAGAUAAGGUUAGCCAAACGUCCGGGGGCACAGAGGACCACCACCACCACCACCACAACCACCACCACCACCAAAAAGCCACUGGAAACACAGAAGAAACCCACAGAACCUGAAAAACCAAGAAAAGUGUCACAGAUUUCAACAGAGCCCAUUAGAAAAACCUCGAUUGAAACCUCCAUCACUCGGAAGGUUUCUGAGGCUAAAAUCUCCUUGGAAACCUCAUCCACCACCACUAGAAAGGUAUCAGAACCUCGAGAACCAGUGGAACCUGUCCGAAAACCCUUUGAAACCCCUAGAAAGGUAUCAGAAGCUAAGAUAUUACUGGAACCUUCAUCCAGAAAGGUUUCAGAGCCUAGAGAACCAGAAGGACCAAUUAGAAAGGUCUCAUCACCACGAGAACCCAUUGUAGAACCAGUUAGGAAGGUGUCAGAGCCUCAAGAACCAGCUGAACCCACAAGGAAGGUAUCAGAAGCAAAGAUUAUGAUUGAAUCUACAAAGAGGGAAUCCAGUCGCAUCUUCCAGCCUAUUGCCGCCGAACCGACCCCCUCCUCCCGGGCCUCCCCCCCUAGGGAAGCCCGCCCAGAGGAGAAGAAAGCAACUGAACCACGAAGAUUCACUCCAACGAAACCAGACGAACCGCGAAAAGUUGAACCGCUCACCAAAACGAACCGGUUUGGAACGCCGCGAACCACGAACCAGCCAACACCUCAGACUGCCACGCCCACAAACGAGCCGUACGCUGAACCCCUGAGGUACCAGAAGAAACAGAACGGUACCCCUGCCAAACCAACCCAGCAGAGUGAUGUCGACAAGAUAGUAAGCGCUUAUGGUGUGGGACCGACGGAUGAGUUCGGCGUUCCUCUCUUCGGCCUCCAAGCGCUCAAACGGCGUACUCCUGCUGCUGCUGCUGGUGAACCUGUCCCAGAACCGCAGGAGGCGCCGAAGGAGGAGGAGCCGUACGUGCCAAAGGAUGCACUAGGACGCCCACUGUUCGGCCUUCGCUCCCUCCGUAAGGCCCCGCAGGACACCACCACCACCACCACCACCACCACCACCACAUCCACUACAGAUCGAAGGGACGCAACUCAGUCGUCAGUAGUGGAAGGAUCUCGCCUGACAGUGACCUCCAGGAGUGCCAAGGUGACCAAAGAACCGGAGGAUGAGGAAGAGGAGGAGGAGGAGGAGGAGGAGGAGGAAGAAGAGGAAGAGGAAGAGGGGUCAUCCAGCUCCUCCUCCUCUGAUGAAGAAGAGAAAUCCCCACGAUUAGUAAGAGGCGCGAGGGAUGCAUUGAAGAAAACGGAGGAGGAGACGGAGAAGAAGAAAACGAGAGAUAGAAAAAUUUCUCCUAGGCCUUCCACCACCUCCACCACCGUCACCACCGCCACCAUCACCACCAGAGACACCGCAAAGCCUGAGACAGAUGACACGGACACAGACACCACCACAAGGUCCUGGCGGCAGAGGUCAUCGUACACCACCACCACCACCUCCUCCACCGCCACCACAUCCACCGCAGAGAAGCCUAAGGUUGAGAGAAAGCUGACUGGGAUUUUAAAGAAGACAUCCACCUCCAGUUUAUUAGGGGAGAGUAAGGAAGAGACAGCGGUUAGCACAGUCAGCAAAGGGCAAGUCGUGUCAACGGAUGACCUGCUAAACACACUUACGGAGGACCAAAUUUCGCGCCUUUCUCACGAGUUCGACAUGCGAGCACAGGAGGACGGCGUGAUUAAGACUGAGGAGGCGGUGGAGGACGUCGAAGGAGGGUACAAGAUCACUUCUAGGACCACGGGGGAGACGCCAGAUGGGUCCUGCAAGUUUGCUAGGAAGACAUCCUAUACUGAAAUCAAAUUGCAGCCCACAUGUGUUUCUGAAGGUGGACGCCAGGUGACUUCCUCCUCCAGCGCCACCGUGCAGGCCUCCUCCUCCUCCUCCUCCACCUUCCAUACCAGCAGGAGUGGAGAGGACGCAGAAAUGAGGGAAGGAAGAAGCUUUUUAGAAGAUCGGUCAAAGGUUACAGGAAUUUCCGAUGUCUUGAGCAGGAUGGGAGCGACUGAGGCUGUUGAGCAAGACGCCAAGGUCACAUCAGAUGAUCAGGCACGCUCACUUCUCAACCGGUUUCUGGGAGCACAAGUCUUGAUGUCUGGAGUGGAGUCAAUGAUGGCCUCCUCCUCCGUCAGCGAGGCAGCCAGAAUGGAGACAGACGCUGAGGGGAAGACGAUCAUAACAAAAGUAGGAGGUGGCCACGUGUCCUCCACCGCUGCCAAGGACGGGGAGAUCACACACCACCACGCCUCCACCUUCUCCACCCAGCCCGUCACCACCACCAUCACCGCCUCCUCCACCUCAUCCACCGCUAUUCAGGGCGAACCGGUGUUGGUGAGCGGCGUGAAUAUUAACCAAGUGACAGACACAGACCGACUAAACCAACUGCUUGACACGUGCGGGGAGUAUGAUGACAGGAGGAAAAUCAGAAUGCGCCUCAAAUCCCUCAUGGCGGAAAAGAGAGGCGAGGUGAGCGGCCAUGAGGCGACGUGCAGCGGCGCGGCGGCACGCGGCUGCCCCUCAGUGUCUGUGGGGUCGUGGCGGGGAGGCCCAGGCGGCGCGGAAGGCUCGGGAGGCGCGGGGCAGGCAAUCAAGCACUUCUGAUUUCAAGGUGACAAGACAGCAGUAUCGCCCUUUGGAACUACUGGGGGUGACCUGAGGGGAUCUACACAGGCUGACAAAUCUAAGGUUGUUUCGCCAUUUGAGAAGUUUAAGAAGUUAGACUCCCAACAGUCGCCUCGCCC